rnacentral:lncRNA from 1 species
AUUGUAUGAUUUUAGGAACCAAGAGGCAGUGGGGAUCUCCUUGGGAGCUGUUUUUGCUGGAUUAUUUUUCCUGUUUCUGCCCUGUCUCCGAGUUGGCAUCCUCUCCCUCAGCCUUUACAAUCUAGUCACUAACUGGUGUGGCUCAGCUCGUAAGAAAUGGCUCUGGUGUUACUGUGAAUUGAAUAUGUUCCACCACCACUAGGGAAACAAGAAGACCAGAGGGAGAGGUUUUCCAGAAGCUCCUGCCUUUUUGCUCAAGUCCCCCAGUUCCACAAGUUAGGACUUGUGUGGGGGGCGUGGCUAGGGCAUCCUGUUACUUGUAUUUACCAAGAAGCUGGGGCAUCACUAUGAAGGCCUUAUCCUGUUGGUGCUUCUUUUUAAGAAAUUCCUUCAAAGACUUGAUAUAUGCAUGGUUUAAAACAUUAUUUGAAUGUUGCUAUGGAAUCUUAAUUGGAAAGUGAAAGAGGAGCUCUGGGACCCCUGCCACCUGCAGUGCCCAGAAGAGGGCUUCUUGCGGAGUUUCAGGCCAGACCAUCUGAGUUUGUGGUGAGUUUGGAGCAUCCACGUGAGAGGUCGCUGGGGUCUGGAGACUGUGGGCUGGAGCUCAGCAGAGACUGAUGCAUUUGCCUGGCUUCCUACCCUGGAUUGCAGAUUCAUUUAGGACAGGGCCACAUCUCAUUUGUUUUUCAACUCCUGGCCACUGGCAUAGUUCAGGGCAUAUAACAGGUACUCAAUAAACAAUGAUAGACUCAUUGAUUAAGCGAGACGGGUAUCACCUUGGGGAUCGUCUGAACCAAGGUGAGUCGUGGAAACAGCGAGGUUACAAAGAAUUACUGCAUAUGUCACCAUCACAGGACUCAUCCACUCCGUGGGGACAGUGUUCAGACCAGUGGGUGCAGAGCGCCCCCUCUAGGAUGAUAAGCUGGAGCUGAAGCUUGGCUCAGUGCUGGUAGACAGUGGCUGGCUGGAGAGCAUAUACCUUAUCUGAUGGGGCAGCUGCUGCUCCGUUGCCGCCAGCAGAUGUGAUGACAGAACUCCCAGUUUUUCAGUUGUAAGCACAACUCUGGAUGGUAACAAGAACUCUUAUUUUUAAAUGUAAAUUUGUAAUACUGAGGUGCACAUAAAAUGCACAUAUAGGUCAGCUUUGAUCUGAAAGCAUUUGUAUGUUCUUUGGAGAAAACCAAACAAGAAAGCUGGGUGGCAGGACUCCUUAAGGGCCGGAAGAAGGAAGAGAAUCCCCCAGCAAAGUUGAGAAGGGGCAGUUAAAGAGCCAGAGGAGAGGCGUGAACUUGAAUCUUAAGAAGGGAAGACUCUCAAGAAACCUGGGCACGGUUGAUAGAUAUCUGCCAUGAUAUGUGCGACGGAGAAGUCAGGUAAUUAGCACAGUGAAUCAUUCAUGAAUUCAGGGAGGCUGCUCCUAACAUUAUGCAGCCACUUUUGGUCUGGCAUAAAUAUGAUCCAGACUGUGACUUAGGUAUCAAUUGGAUCAGAGUUGUUUUUAAAGUUAUUUCCUUAAAGCUUUGAGGAGAAAGGAGUCCAAGUUCGUAUUAAUCAAUUGGACUUUUUGAAAGCCAUUAUUCAUGUACUAUAAUACUUUAAAGGAGUAUUAAAAAUAUUUCAAGGAAUUUACAUGAAACGGUCAAGGGAACCUCUUUUUCACCAUGAUAGGAUGGGCCUUUGUCUUGUCUGUCUGGGGAAAGUUAUGACAGUAGAUCCUCUUCCAAGAGGUUUUAUUUUAUUGGAGGGAAGCCCAGUUAAAGUGUCAGUAUUAAUUUUCUGUCAUGUAAUCUACCAAGAAACAGAUUUCCAAAGUCUCUCAAACAUUCAGUGCACUCAUUUCCGUUUGCUAAACUUGAUCGAUACAUUUCAAGUGAUAUAUUCAUUUGAAGUCAAAAUUGAACAAAGUGUAUCCUACCUAAGGCAUUGGACUAAUAGAUAUUUUCAUUUUUUAAAUGGAAAGUUUGUAAUUAAUUAUAAAUUACUCUAAUGAGUGCUUUGUACAGUCAGAACGUGUCUCAUCGAACAAACAAAACCCAUUCACUGAGUUUCUUCCAUGCACUUCCAUAUGCUCAAAGCCAUGCAGGUUGAUGUGUGGUUAUCAUGAGGUUAAAGAGGGCGUAAUGUAAGCCGCACACUGGUCAUUCUGCACUUUUGCUCCUCCAUGUCUUUUUUGCUUUUUCCUUUUUUUUUUUUUUUUUUCUGUCUUUUGUCUUUUUUUUAGGGCUGCACCUACAGCAUACAGAGGUUCCCAGGCUAGGGGUCCAAUCAGAGCUGUAGCUGCCAGCCUACACCACAGCCACAGCAAUGCCAGAUCCAAGCCACAUCUGCAACCUACACCACAGCUCACGACAACGCCAGAUCCUUAACCCACGGAGCGAGGCCAGGGAUUGAACCCACAACCUCAUGGUUCCUAGUCAGACUCGUUUCCACUGCGCCACGACGGGAGCUCCCCUCCACGUCUUUUCUCCUGUGUUUCCCUCUGCCUGGAAUGCCCCAACCAUUCCCAGUCUCUCGUCCUUCUAGUCUUUUUUGUCACUUCCUAGUCACGCUGCAGGGACAGUUUAAAACGUCACUCUAGAGCUAUUCUUAAUACCUCCUUAACGUUAUUCCCAUAACACCUUGUACGUCCUGUGAAUAUAGCACUUCUCAAAUAAUAUGUUCGGUGUUCUACUCUUGGACAAGACUGUGAAGUUCCUAAAGUAUUUGUCAUUCAUUUCCGCAUCUAGGCAUGUAUCUGAUAUGGGGGAACUUUUCAGCAAAUGACUGUUGACUUAGAUUGAAUCCGUUCAUUAGAGCAGAUAUCACUCCAGUGCCCGACUUGGGCAGAUAAACCAUUAACCCGAUGUGUUAUUAAAUAUUUAGCUUAACAGUGUGACGAUCUUAAAUGACCUUACAUAUUAUUAUGUAAUUCGAACAUAGUUUCGAUAGGCUACGAUAAAACUCAUCAUCCAGAAAUCUAAUGUUAAAUCUAAUUGUUAAAGUCUCACACAAGACAACUCAGAACAUUGCAUUAUUCCCCACACCAGUGUUGGAAAGAUGACCCAGUGUAUCAGAAAGAUCCUUUUCAGCCUCUGUUGUGUAGAUGGCAUGAGUCCUUGUUUUACAGAGACCUGUGUAGCUAGCACAGCCCUUGCUCUCAUGCUUCAGGGCAGAGCCCUGGGUCAUUACGAGAGAAGGAUCAGUGUAUGGUGGCUGUGCUGGAAAACAUCUUGGUAUAUCCAGCAUGGGUUUUUCCCAGCCUGGCAUAUAUGUAUAGUAGGUUAGUGUUUAGUGAAUGUUUACGCUGUAUUGCUUAAUUAAAAUGGCAUUGGUGGAGCUCCCGCUGUGGUGCAGUGGGAGUGGCAGUGUCUUGGGAGCACUGGUACAUGGGUUCGAUCCCUGGCCCCGGCACAGUGGGUUAGGGAUCUGGCAUUGCCACGGCUGUGGCUUUGGUUGUGACUACAGCUUGGAUCUGAUCCCUGGCCAGGAGCUCCCUAUGCUAUGGGGCAGC